rnacentral:rRNA from 1 species
UAUCGCGUAUACAACAAAAAAGUUCGUUCUACGGCUUUUUUUUUGGCGGCGUGCGUGGAUAACGGCUCACAUAACGUGUCGCGAUGGAUGACUUGGCUUCCUAUUUCGUUGAAGAACGCAGUAAAGUGCGAUAAGUGGUA